rnacentral:rRNA from 1 species
GUCUUUUUGAUGUUAAUUUAAAGUCUAAUCUGCCCACUGAUUAAUUAAUUGAAGGGCUGCAGUAUAUUGACUGUACAAAGGUAGCAUAAUCAUUAGUCAUUUAAUUGAUGACUUGUAUGAAGGAUUGGAUGAAAUAUAAACUGUCUCUUAUUUAAUUAUAAAAUUUAAUUUUUUUAUUAAAAAGUUAAGAUAAUUUAAAAAGACGAGAAGACCCUGUAGAGUUUGAUAAUUAAUUUAAUUGAAAUUAUUUUGAAAAAUAUACUUUAAAUUAAUUUAUUUAUUUUAUUGGGGUGAUAGAAAAAUAUAUAAAACUUUUUUUUUUAGUUAAACAUUUAUAAGUGAUUAAUUGAUCCAAUAAUAUUGAUUAUAAGAAAAAAUUACCUUAGGGAUAACAGCGUAAUUUUUUUUUUUAGUUCAAAUAAGAAAAAGAGUUUGCGACCUCGAUGUUGGAUUAAGAUAAAAUUUAAAUGUAGAAGUU